rnacentral:misc_RNA from 1 species
GCAAAUUCCAUAUUCAUGUAUUUUGAAUUGUCUACUUAGAAGUGUAAACUAAAUCUCUUAUUUCUUUCCUAGUCACUUUCAAGUUUCAACAAACAAAGAAAAAUGAGAAGAAUAACAAAGAAACAAAACUUGCAUUAAUUUACACAAUAACAUUUCUAUAUUAGGCAGAAAAAACUAUGAGCUCAUAACAACUUUAGUUUAGUUCUCCACAUCUCUCCAAUGACCUUCCUUGGUGAUGGAUCAUCUGGUCCUUUGUCUCUUUGUCCUGAUGUGAAGUACAACCACCCGUUCCAGAAUCCAACAAGUGUUGUUUUUACACGGUAAGGAAGUUUGCCUAAAACUUUCCAUGUCUGUGUAUCGAAUUGAAAUUGGAGGAUUUCUCCAACAAGGGUCAUCUUUUUGGUAUUUGGGUGCUUCUCAGUAGUUCCUCCAACAAUCACAAGAGACCUAUUGACAAUAGCCCAAGCAAACUCUAUAUGGGAAUCUGGCUUUGGCAUGGGAGUUAACACUUUCCAUGUCAUAUCGUCAUCUAACAUGUAAACAUCAUCAUAUACGACCUCAUUUCUACGUGAGCAUUUGAAAAUAGGUGAUCCAGGUUUAGCCAUAAAAUCACCCUCUUGACCACCAAAGACAUAAAGUCGGUCAUCAAACACAACACAGGCCCUGUGAGGUCCACCACGAGGAAUAGGUAUCUCAGCCCGCCACUCCGUUUCUAAAGCUUUUCCAUCUUUAACAGCAAUACUCCAAUGCUCUAAUCCUGGGGUAUGCCGAUUCUCUUUGCUCCCACCCAUGACAUGAAGCCUGCCUCUCCAGAGCUGUGUUGCAGGCGCAUACCUUGGGAGUGGUAAAGGAGGCAAGUCCUGCCAUUGCUUGGUUUUGGUGUCAAGAACAAAAUUGCGGGCAGUAGGACCCCGGCACUGGGGACCGUAUUGUCCAGUAACCACAUAAAUGUAUCUCCCAUCAGUUACCAUACCCAAGUGUGAAUGAGCCAUUUCUUUGGGCAUAUCAAAUGUUCCUCCCCAUGAGUUGGCGGUGAAAUUGUAAAUAUCGACAUGCGAGUGAACAUGAUCAAUGGUUCCAUAACCAGCAAAGACGAAAAGAAGGUCGUUGAUCUGUAGUGCAGCGCCGUCAAGACGAGGUACAGGUGAUGGUGCCAUCUUCUCCCAGUUCAGUAGCGGGGCAGGCAAAUCGGCAAAGGUAGCCGAUAAAAUCCUGGCAUCUCCUCCUUUUUUGUUAGAUAUGGGUAGCGUGUUAUUAGGAAAGAAGAGAAGAUUGGAUGAUGGUGGGAGUGGCCAAUUGAAGGAGGAGGAAGAAGCCCAGAGCAGAUCUACAAGAAGAAAGGUUCCCAAGAGAGCCACACAAAGAAAGACCAGCUUGGUGGUGCUGCUACUAGUUGCCUUCCCUAUUCUCAUCUCAUUGCCCACCCCAGAUCUCACCAAAUCUCCUCUACUUCAUUAUUAAUAAUUUGGUUAUAGGAUGACAAAAAUCUUAAAUCCAUAUAUAUUUUUUUUUGGUUUCGCAGUGCCCCUUUU